ACGAAGGGAGCUAGCGUUGUUCGGAAUUACUGGGCGUAAAGGGCGCGUAGGCGGUUUGGUAAGUUGGAUGUGAAAGCCCAGGGCUCAACCCUGGAACUGCAUUCAAAACUGCUUGACUUGAAUUCGGUAGAGGUUGGUGGAAUUCCCAGUGUAGAGGUGAAAUUCGUAGAUAUUGGGAAGAAUAUCCGUGGCGAAGGCGGCCAACUGGACCGACAUUGACGCUGAGGCGCGAAAGCGUGGGGAUCAAACAG
rnacentral:rRNA from 1 species